AGUUCUCUUUUCCUUCUCCUAAUGCACACAUGUGGGGUUGAUUAUCCCUCUCGCUCGGUAAGACAAGUGAAAAGUACAUGUUCUAUCCCAAAGAUGCUCCAGCUAAUAAACGCACCUAAAGUCCAGGAAAUAAGGACCAGUCAAAGGUCAGGACUGAAAAGAGGCAAACUAGCCUUAAUAUAGUGUACAGUAUUGUGUAAUAACUGCAAGAUAAAACAACAGCUGUCUUUCCAGUAAAUAUAGGUGCUAGAUUUAAACCAUGUGAGAUAUUUUCCUAGGCUCAGAUACAAUCUCCUAAAUUGAUGCAGGUGUUAUUGUUUUGUCUCUAUCUAAUGUUUGUUGACUUCAUAUGUCAAUCAAAACACUUUUUUUUCCAUGCCGUACUUUUACUCUCAAAGCAAGAAAUCCAAACGAUAUAAGCAUAUUAUAAGGCGCUAUUUUAAAUUCAUUUGAAAACCUUCAAGCCAGCUCACAAAAACCACGGCUAUUCACAGCCAGCGGUCCUUGGGGGGUGCACUGACAACACAUGCCAGAUUACCAACCCUCCUUCAAUGCAGACGCAAGAUUUUCUCUCCGCCUUCUCCCUGCGUGCUCUGUUGGGCAGAUGCCCACACAGGGAUGGGGAAAGCCAUUGUAUCUAAUUGCAAUGCUCAGGAUUUUGAUUACACUCUUGCCUUGAAAGCACAACACUGUAAAAGAACAAUUGCUCAGAGAGCACCAAGCAGCAGGAGGUGCAAUUUCAGCCCCUUCUUAAUGAGAGAACAUAUCAAAAGGUAAAAGGGAGGCCUUUAUACUUUAAUUCCAUUUCUGAUGUAGCAAUUGUGGGGGGCUUAAUCUAUCAGUAUAUUAAAGAUGAAACUAAAGCUUGGACUAUUAUUCUUCCCUUUGUGUUUGAGGAUUGUUCCAUCCUGGUCUGUUUUGCCCAUAUCUUAGAAAUUAUUAACCUCAAAGCGCAAUUCCCACAGCAAUUGAGUGAUGUAAUGUCUUAAUAAAAAUCACUAUAAUGUGCUCUAUAGCUUCUCUGUUUCUAGGACAUACUUUCCACAUUAAAUAGAACCACAUAAAAGUUCACAUGUGAUAUGGCCGAAUAGCAAGAACAUCUGAAGACGUUUAACUAUUUGCCAAACUACAUUUGAAUUUAAAUCAAUAUUUCCAUGAGAUCAGAAAGUGGGAGCCAGAUAACCAUGUUAAAUGCGGGUUAUUCAUUUAUUGAAACAAUGGACUAAACAGACAAAACUGUCUUUAGUCUUUAGGAAAGGUUUUGUAUCUUACAUACAUGUACUUUUGCAUAAUUUAAUU
ensembl:lncRNA